UACGUAGGGUGCAAGCGUUGUUCGGAAUUAUUGGGCGUAAAGGGCGCGUAGGCGGUCUCUUAAGCGUGUGGUGAAAGCCCGGGGCUCAACUCCGGAACUGCCUUUAAGACUGCAUCGCUUGAAUCCAGGAGAGGUGAGUGGAAUUCCGAGUGUAGAGGUGAAAUUCGUAGAUAUUCGGAAGAACACCAGUGGCGAAGGCGGCUCACUGGACUGGUAUUGACGCUGAGGUGCGAAAGCGUGGGGAGCAAACAGG
rnacentral:rRNA from 1 species